rnacentral:tRNA from 1 species
GGUAAAGUGGCCGAGUUUAGGCGGUAAAUUGUAGAUUUAUGAACGGAGAAAUUCCCUUUAUCA